GACGAACGCUGGCGGCGUGCUUAACACAUGCAAGUCGAACGGAAAGGCCCUGCUUUUGUGGGGUGCUCGAGUGGCGAACGGGUGAGUAACACGUGAGUAACCUGCCCUUGACUUUGGGAUAACUUCAGGAAACUGGGGCUAAUACCGGAUAGGAGCUCCUGCUGCAUGGUGGGGGUUGGAAAGUUUCGGCGGUUGGGGAUGGACUCGCGGCUUAUCAGCUUGUUGGUGGGGUAGUGGCUUACCAAGGCUUUGACGGGUAGCCGGCCUGAGAGGGUGACCGGCCACAUUGGGACUGAGAUACGGCCCAGACUCCUACGGGAGGCAGCAGUGGGGAAUAUUGCACAGUGGGAGGAAGCCUGAUGCAACCACGCCGCGUGGGGGAUGACGGCCUUCCGGAUGUAAACCGCUUUCGCCUGUGACGAAGCGAGAGUGACGGUAAUGGGUAAAGAAGCACCGGCUAACUACGUGCCAGCAGCCGCGGUGAUACGUAGGGUGCGAGCGUUGUCCGGAUUUAUUGGGCGUAAAGGGCUCGUAGGUGGUUGAUCGCGUCGGAAGUGUAAUCUUGGGGCUUAACCCUGAGCGUGCUUUCGAUACGGGUUGACUUGAGGAAGGUAGGGGAGAAUGGAAUUCCUGGUGGAGCGGUGGAAUGCGCAGAUAUCAGGAGGAACACCAGUGGCGAAGGCGGUUCUCUGGGCCUUUCCUGACGCUGAGGAGCGAAAGCGUGGGGAGCGAACAGGCUUAGAUACCCUGGUAGUCCACGCUGUAAACGGUGGGUACUAGGUGUGGGGUCCAUUCCACGGGUUCCGUGCCGUAGCUAACGCUUUAAGUACCCCGCCUGGGGAGUACGGCCGCAAGGCUAAAACUCAAAGGAAUUGACGGGGCCCCGCACAAGCGGCGGAGCAUGCGGAUUAAUUCGAUGCAACGCGUAGAACCUUACCUGGGUUUGACAUGGAUCGGGAGUGCUCAGAGAUGGGUGUGCCUCUUUUGGGGUCGGUUCACAGGUGGUGCAUGGCUGUCGUCAGCUCGUGUCGUGAGAUGUUGGGUUAAGUCCCGCAACGAGCGCAACCCUUGUUCACUGUUGCCAGCACGUUAUGGUGGGGACUCAGUGGAGACCGCCGGGGUCAACUCGGAGGAAGGUGGGGAUGACGUCAAGUCAUCAUGCCCCUUAUGUCCAGGGCUUCACGCAUGCUACAAUGGCUGGUACAGAGAGUGGCGAGCCUGUGAGGGUGAGCGAAUCUCGGAAAGCCGGUCUCAGUUCGGAUUGGGGUCUGCAACUCGACCUCAUGAAGUCGGAGUCGCUAGUAAUCGCAGAUCAGCAACGCUGCGGUGAAUACGUUCCCGGG
rnacentral:rRNA from 1 species